GUAUAUUAAAGUUGUUGCAGUUAAAAAGCUCGUAGUUGAAUUUUGGGCCUGACCGGGUGGUCCCCCUUCGGGUGACACUGUCUUCCCGUCGGGUCUCUUCUUCUGGAGUUGAGCUUGUUCUUCACUGGGAACCGAGCCUUACCAUGACUGUUACCUUGA
rnacentral:rRNA from 1 species